rnacentral:rRNA from 1 species
UGCAAGUCGAGCGGAAACGAGUUAUCUGAACCUUCGGGGAACGAUAACGGCGUCGAGCGGCGGACGGGUGAGUAAUGCCUAGGAAAUUGCCUUGAUGUGGGGGAUAACCAUUGGAAACGAUGGCUAAUACCGCAUGAUGCCUACGGGCCAAAGAGGGGGACCUUCGGGCCUCUCGCGUCAAGAUAUGCCUAGGUGGGAUUAGCUAGUUGGUGAGGUAAUGGCUCACCAAGGCGACGAUCCCUAGCUGGUCUGAGAGGAUGAUCAGCCACACUGGAACUGAGACACGGUCCAGACUCCUACGGGAGGCAGCAGUGGGGAAUAUUGCACAAUGGGCGCAAGCCUGAUGCAGCCAUGCCGCGUGUAUGAAGAAGGCCUUCGGGUUGUAAAGUACUUUCAGCAGUGAGGAAGGGGGUGUCGUUAAUAGCGGCAUCUCUUGACGUUAGCUGCAGAAGAAGCACCGGCUAACUCCGUGCCAGCAGCCGCGGUAAUACGGAGGGUGCGAGCGUUAAUCGGAAUUACUGGGCGUAAAGCGCAUGCAGGUGGUUUGUUAAGUCAGAUGUGAAAGCCCGGGGCUCAACCUCGGAACUGCAUUUGAAACUGGCAAACUAGAGUACUGUAGAGGGGGGUAGAAUUUCAGGUGUAGCGGUGAAAUGCGUAGAGAUCUGAAGGAAUACCAGUGGCGAAGGCGGCCCCCUGGACAGAUACUGACACUCAGAUGCGAAAGCGUGGGGAGCAAACAGGAUUAGAUACCCUGGUAGUCCACGCCGUAAACGAUGUCUACUUGGAGGUUGUGGCCUUGAGCCGUGGCUUUCGGAGCUAACGCGUUAAGUAGACCGCCUGGGGAGUACGGUCGCAAGAUUAAAACUCAAAUGAAUUGACGGGGGCCCGCACAAGCGGUGGAGCAUGUGGUUUAAUUCGAUGCAACGCGAAGAACCUUACCUACUCUUGACAUCCAGAGAACUUUCCAGAGAUGGAUUGGUGCCUUCGGGAACUCUGAGACAGGUGCUGCAUGGCUGUCGUCAGCUC